GCCUGGGUGGCUCAGUAGGUUGAGCAUCUGACUUUGGCUCAGGUCAGGAUCUCAUAGUUCGUGAGUUUGAGCCCCCCAUCAGGCU
rnacentral:tRNA from 1 species